rnacentral:rRNA from 1 species
CCUACGGGGGGCUGCAGUGGGGAAUAUUGCACAAUGGGCGCAAGCCUGAUGCAGCGACGCCGCGUGAGCGAUGAAGGCCUUCGGGUCGUAAAGCUCUGUCCUAUGGGAAGAAAAAUGACGGUACCAUAGGAGGAAGCCCCGGCUAACUACGUGCCAGCAGCCGCGGUAAUACGUAGGGGGCGAGCGUUGUCCGGAAUGACUGGGCGUAAAGGGUACGUAGGCGGCCCUGCAAGUCAGAGGUGAAAGGCUACGGCUCAACCGUAGUAAGCCUUUGAAACUGUAGGGCUUGAGUGCAGGAGAGGAGAGUGGAAUUCCCAGUGUAGCGGUGAAAUGCGUAGAUAUUGGGAGGAACACCAGUUGCGAAGGCGGCUCUCUGGACUGUAACUGACGCUGAGGCACGAAAGCGUGGGGAGCGAACAGGAUUAGAUACCCUGGUAGUC